rnacentral:rRNA from 1 species
UACGGAGGGUGCAAACGUUGCUCGGAAUCAUUGGGCGUAAAGCGCACGUAGGCGGCCUGUUAAGUCGGGUGUGAAAGCCCCGGGCUCAACCUGGGAAUUGCAUUCGAGACUGAAUAGCUAGGGUACGGUAGAGGGAAGUGGAAUUCCGAGUGUAGAGGUGAAAUUCGUAGAUAUUCGGAAGAACACCAGUGGCGAAGGCGACUUACUGGACACAUAUUGACGCUGAGGUGCGAAAGCGUGGGGAGCAAACAGG